GAUGAACGCUGGCGGCGUGCCUAAUACAUGCAAGUCGAGCGAACAGACGAGGAGCUUGCUCCUCUGACGUUAGCGGCGGACGGGUGAGUAACACGUGGAUAACCUACCUAUAAUACUGGGAUAACUUCGGGAAACCGGAGCUAAUACCGGAUAAUAUAUUGAACCGCAUGGUUCAAUAGUGAAAGACGGUUUUGCUGUCACUUAUAGAUGGAUCCGCGCCGCAUUAGCUAGUUGGUAAGGUAACGGCUUACCAAGGCAACGAUGCGUAGCUGACCUGAGAGGGUGAUCGGCCACACUGGAACUGAGACACGGUCCAGACUCCUACGGGAGGCAGCAGUAGGGAAUCUUCCGCAAUGGGCGAAAGCCUGACGGAGCAACGCCGCGUGAGUGAUGAAGGCCUUCGGAUCGUAAAACUCUGUUAUUAGGGAAGAGCAAAUGUGUAAGUAACUCUGCACGUCUUGACGGUACCUAAUCAGAAAGCCACGGCUAACUACGUG
rnacentral:rRNA from 1 species